rnacentral:lncRNA from 1 species
CCCCUAGGAGAAAAAAAAGAGGACCGGCUUUUUUAGAGCAAGACAAUCCCAGAGAGAUGAAGUGAAUGACCCAAGGUUACACAGGAUGGAACCUAUAUCUUCUGAUUUCCCUACUGGCCUGCACUCCACAUUCUGAGGAGGAGUCCUUGAAGCUACUGAGAUAAUGGAACAAUGGAGUAGAUAGUCCAUUAUAACUCAUCUGGGAUUCUUCUCAACUUCAAGUGACCACAGAAAAAAGGUUGUCCUGUCCAUUCUAUCCCUUUUGCUGUACCCAUGGUGACUGCAUCAGCCUGAGAAGACUGUGAUGUUACGUCUCUGCUUGAGAUGUUAGGGGACUGGAGAUGGCUCAGCAGUUAAGAGCUUUGGCUGUGGCUUGGGAGAAAACAAGGCUUGAAGAGGAGCAGGCGAGGCUGAGUCAGUGACUCCAGAGUGGGAGCAUGGUCUGGUAACAACAACGCUUCUGGAUGGGAUUGUGGAGCUGGACUGCUUAACCUGGGCUAAAUCAUUUAUCUUCCUGUGUCCCUCAGUUCUUCAUGGGCUGCAGAAGUGUUAAGAGUGCCUGCUUGUCUUCGAGAGGACCAGAGAUCAAUUCCCAGCAUCCAUCCCUGGAAGCUACAGGGAGUUCAACACUCUUCCUGACUUCCUCAAGCACCCCCACACAUAUGGCUUAUACACACAGGGAAAGAAGUAAAGGAAAUCUUAAAAACA